rnacentral:piRNA from 1 species
UUCAGGCUCUCAGGUGAGGACCGUGGCUGC